rnacentral:rRNA from 1 species
CCUACGGGAGGCAGCAGUGAGGAAUAUUGGUCAAUGGACGCAAGUCUGAACCAGCCAUGCCGCGUGCAGGAAGACUGCCCUAUGGGUUGUAAACUGCUUUUGUACAAGGAUAAACGGAGAUACGCGUAUCUGUCUGCAAGUAUCGUAUGAAUAAGGAUCGGCUAACUCCGUGCCAGCAGCCGCGGUAAUACGGAGGAUUCAAGCGUUAUCCGGAUUUAUUGGGUUUAAAGGGUGCGUAGACGGGCGGUUAAGUUAGUGGUGAAAGCCGGCGGCUCAACCUCGGAAUUGCCUUUGAUACUGUUCGUCUAGAGAGUAGUUGCGGUAGGCGGAAUGUGUGGUGUAGCGGUGAAAUGCUUAGAGAUCAUACAGAACCCCGAUUGCGAAGGCAGCUUACCAAGCUACUUCUGACGUUGAGGCACGAAAGCGUGGGUAGCAAACAGGAUUAGAUACCCGAGUAGUC